UUAUUAUUAUUGUUAUAUAGAAGGAAUUAUUUUUGUUUAUCCUCUUCGCCACUGACCGGCCUGUUAGCCGCUUGGAAGGCCUGUCACCUCUCUGUUAAGCACUGUAUAUGUACUGGAUCUCUCUUACGUACUAUUGCCAUAUACUGACUCUGUUACGUACUGUUGGCAACUUGGCAUGUACUGGUUAUCUGUUACGUACUGUUGGCACUGUGGGCAUGUGCUGACUCUCUGUUACGCACUGUUGGUAACUGAGCAAACAGUUUAAGGCAAUUAAGGAUAUAACCUUUGAUGCCCAGCCUUAGGUGUGAAACAGUGCCGAAGAAAAGGUGAGGUACUUCCCCGCCUGGAAUGCACUGCUGUCACCCCGUCUGGUCCUCGAGAUAUGCUAGGGACUGUCAGCUGAUUGAAAAUGUCCAAAGGAGGGCCACUAGACUGGUGCCUGCACUUCGGCACCUCAGCUACCCUGAGAGAUUAGAGCGCCUGCAUCUAUGUAUCUAUAUAUUACUAAUCAGCGGUAACCACCCAGUAAGGAGGACGGACUAUAUAAUGAGGUGAUUCACCACCGGCGCGCAGUAGUCAUUGAGACACAGAGGGAGUAGGUGCUGCCGGUCGUCUUUCUCACCUGACCGGUGCUGUUUUUUAAAUCCAUAUUGGUUGUUACUGUUGUGUUAAAGGCCAGUUUGCUGCCUCAGUGGUCGUCAGUGUGGACAGUACAGCAGCUUAUUUAUUGGGGAUGAUGACUUGAAGAUGGAGGAUGCAAGAAAUGAUAGUUUUAUUCUGAUGAACUCUCCCUGCACUGCACCAAAAAAUGUCAGUAGGUUCUGGACCUUAUUAAGGAGAGGUGUGCACUCUGCUGUACCACUCAUCUUGUACUGCUGUACCAGGAUGGCAAAUGAUUCACAACACAUCUAAAGGAAGCAAGUGCCAAGAUACAGCCCAGACCCAGCCUUCCACCCCUCCUCUCUACCUCAGUAUUGUUCUGAACACUGGAGUGCUGUGCUGCCCUAGGCUGUGCUUACUGGCCACUGCCCUGUACUUGCUGCUGCCCUAGACUUCCCUGUACUUGCUUGCUACUGCCCUGGACUGCUCUGCUCUGUGUAUGCUGGCUGCUGCCCUGGACGG